AUGUACAUUCCUACAACAUAGCAUUAAUGCAUUGGAUCCCAUUAGAACUCCACAGUUAAGUGUGCUCAGGCUAGAUUAGUACUAGGAUGGGUGACCGCCUAGAAAUUCCUAGCGUUUUACAUG
rnacentral:rRNA from 1 species